GCCGCGUGUGUGAUGACGGUCCUUCGGAUUUGAAACCUUUUUCGUUGGGACGAAGGGCAGGUGACGGUACCUGUGCAAGAAGCACCGGCCAACUACAUGCCACCACCCGCGGUAACACGUAAGGUGCCAGCGUUGUCCGGAUGUUGUGGGCGUAAAGAGCUCGUACGGGGCUUGUCGCGUCCACAGGGAAAACUUGGGGCUCAACCCCAAGCCUGCGGUCGAUACCGGCAGGCUGCAGUUCGGAAGGGGAAACUGGAAUUCCGGGUGUGGCGGUGAAAUGCCCUGAUAUCAGGAGGAACACCGGUGGCGAAGGCGGGUCUCUGGGCCGAUACGGAAGCUGAUGAGCGAAAGCGUGGGGAGCGAACAGGAUUAGAUACCCUGGUAGUCCAUGCUGUAAACGGUGGGCGCUAGGUGUGGGGGGCCUCUCCGGUUCUCUGUGCCGCAUCUAACGCAUUAGGCGCCCCUCCUGGGGAGUACGGCCGCAAGGCUAAAACUCAAAGGAAUUGACGGGGGCCCGCACAAGCGGCGGAGCAUGCGGAUUAAUUCGAUGCAACGCGAAGAAUCUUACCUGGGUUUGACAUGUUACGCAAAACUUCCAGAGAUGAGAGGUCCUUCGAGAGGC
rnacentral:rRNA from 1 species